rnacentral:rRNA from 1 species
UUUUUUAUAACGUGAGAGGAACUGCUUAGACACCGGUGCGGAGGGCAGGGCGGUGGCCCUUUGGGUAGAGGUGCGUGGCGUAGCCAGGCGAACGAGAACGAGCCGGACAGAACGAGAGCCUGUCCCAAAGCGGCGCAUGUGGAUCGGUACCGGCGGAGCGAUGGUGCGGAGAGGGAGGGCGGCUGCCGGCGAGAGGGACGGCAGCGGAGGAGAGCGAUGGCGGGGCUGGAGCGGGGGCAGGGGUUGGCGGCGGCGGAGCCGGAGGCAGAGGUGGCGAGCGGCCACCGUGGACGCCGACGGCGCUCGAGCGGCAGGCCAGGCAUAAGAAGUGGCCUUGGUCCCAGCCCGUAGCCACCGCAGCGGUAGAAGAGGCGCCGGUGGCCGCUCGGGCAGGACUAGUCCCUAGACACCCUGGUCUUGCUCCCUUACCGACAGCACCGCAACGAUUCCGUAAAGCCUACAGGAACGACGACCCUUAACCGGAACUGCGACUUCCUGCGCUUUCUUUCUAAACUAAGACGACCGCAGUUUGAUUAACGACAACCACAACCGUGAGGACUAUUUCGGGCAUAAGAACGACUCGCAAACGGGAAAGGUAACCUAAUGGAGAUGCGACUAGGACUCGCGUUCCGAAUACUAGAGAACCCGGAUAUAAAACCACAACCAGCGUGUAAGAAGUUGGGUCGGUCACACUUUCAUAAAAGAGCCAAACUAAGGGAGUUCCUCCGCUGUUUCUUGAUAUGUUAGCUUCGGUGGGGUCUACUGUCCGGUUCACAGGACGUUGUCCCACCUUACAAGCACAAGUUUCCCUUUCUUGACAAUAUACGUUCCUUCCUACUCCCGUGUCCACUAGUACGUGGUAAUCUACUACAGGACUUGUAGACGACAUUUCAAGGUCAUCGGACUACAACUUAGGAUGUUUGACCACGAAGAGCAUCUCUGUAAAGUAUUCGAACCGUAGUCUACUGAAAGCUCUAUGACCUAGGACUAUUACGACGUAUGGACCGAUGGACGUGUAGUACGUUAACCCGUCAUGAUUAUAGUUCCUCGCGUUUACGAUGUGUCCUAGAGGUUACCAGUUUUGGGGUCAGAGACUGGGUGGAUGGGGCACCUCUGGUUCCUUCGACGAUAAAACCUUCGGAAAAAAACCCCCCAGUUUGACCUCGGGAGGUCCCUCCAACUACCGAAGUUUUCGGAAAAACCUCAAUGUAGAGCAACUCAUAUAACUAAUAAUUCUUUCUGCUCUAUCUGAUCCUAAACAAGACCAAACAGAACAUGAGGUUUAACCAGUAACAUGAAGAUAUAUAUACGGGUACUCCGAGUUCGUUAUGUUGCUUGAUAAAGUGG